AUUGAACGCUGGCGGUAUGCUUAACACAUGCAAGUCGAACGGCAGCAUAGCCUGUAGCAAUACAGGUGGGUGGCGAGUGGCGGACGGGUGAGUAACGCGUAGGAAUCUGCCCUGUAGCGGGGGAUAACCCGGGGAAACCCGGGCUAAUACCGCAUAAUACUCUACGGAGGAAAGCUGGCCCGCAAGGGCUGGCACUAUGGGAGGAGCCUGCGUCCGAUUAGCUAGCUGGUGAGGUAAAGGCUCACCAGGGCGAUGAUCGGUAGCUGGUCUGAGAGGAUGACCAGCCACACUGGGACUGAGACACGGCCCAGACUCCUACGGGAGGCAGCAGUGGGGAAUAUUGGACAAUGGGGGCAACCCUGAUCCAGCAAUACCGCGUGUGUGAAGAAGGCCUUCGGGUUGUAAAGCACUUUAGGUGGGGAAGAAGGUGUGCAGUUUAAGAGACAGUGCAUUUGACGGUACCCGCAGAAUAAGCACCGGCUAACUCUGUGCCAGCCGCCGCAGUAAAAC
rnacentral:rRNA from 1 species